rnacentral:tRNA from 1 species
GGAGUGGUGGCCGAGUGUUUUAAGGCGCCUGUCUCAUAAACAGGUAGACGUCGCAAGGCGUUUCAUGGGUUAGAAUCCCAUCCACUCUU